UGGGGAAUAUUGGACAAUGGGCGAAAGCCUGAUCCAGCCAUGCCGCGUGUGUGAAGAAGGUCUUCGGAUUGUAAAGCACUCUAAGUUGGGAGGAAGGGCAGUAAGCGAAUACUUUGCUGUUUUGACGUUACCGACAGAAUAAGCACCGGCUAACUCUGUGCCAGCAGCCGCAGUAAUACAGAGGGUGCAAGCGUUAAUCGGAAUUACUGGGCGUAAAGCGCGCGUAGGUGGUUCGUUAAGUUGAAUGUGAAAGCCCCGGGCUCAACCUGGGAGCUGCAUCCAAAACUGGCGAGCUAGAGUAGGGCAGAGGGUGGUGGAAUGUCCUGUGUAGCGGUGAGAUGCGUAGAUAAAGGAAGGAACACCAGUGGCGAAGGCGACCACCUGGGCUCAUACUGACACUGAGGUGCGAAAGCGUGGGGAGCAAACAGG
rnacentral:rRNA from 1 species